rnacentral:siRNA from 1 species
GACGGUGGUCAUGGAAGUCGA